AUACCUAUGCAAAACCUGCAGAGGGCUCUCGAAGCCGAGUGGAUGGCGCCGCACGAACUCCGGCGUCCGUAUAAAAGGCCGGCGAUCUCAGACCAGCAACGGCGACGGGACAUCGAGCUCCUGCGUCAGAGCCAACAGCGCUCCGAUUCGCAGAACCGAGCCCGCCGCCUCGCUUCAUCCAUCCUUUCUCUUCCCGACCACGCUUCGCCGGACACAGCUCAUAUUGACCUCCCUGACGUCUUGGAUGACGAUUAUGACCUUGUGCUGGAGCAGUCUCCUGAGCUGAGAGACGCUUCCCCUACGGCAAGGGAUUUGGAUGUUGUCCAGGCAUCAAAAUUGAAGGGUUCGGCAGCUCGCCACUGGUUCGCUCGCCAGCUCAUGCUGCCGGAAUGGAUGAUUGACGUGCCUCCUAACCUUGACCGUGAUUGGUAUGUCUUUGCAAGGCCUGCUGGUAAGCGCUGCUUUGUUGUUUCUUCGAAUGGUUCUACAGUUAGCAGACUUCGUAAUGGCUCAGUUCUACAUCAUUUUCCAUCUUUCUUGCCUAACGGCGCCAGGAAUAAAGAUAUAUCAGCUCCAUCACAUGUUUAUUGUAUACUGGAUUGCAUAUAUCACGAGUUUGAUCAAACAUAUUACGUGAUUGAUAUGGUUUGUUGGCGAGGAUACUCAUUAUACAACUGUAGUGCGGAGUUCAGAUUCUUUUGGUUGAACUCGAAGCUUUCAGAGUCUGGAGCGUGUAAUCCGCCUUCAACAUACCAUAGGUAUAGAUUCAGUGUUGUACCAAUUUGUGAUUGUAACCAGAUAGGCUUGCAUAAAGCAUAUACAGGCAGCUUUACGUUUGUCAAAGAUGGUCUACUGUUUUACAACAGACAUGCACACUAUCAAACGGGAAACACUCCAUUAGCACUGGUAUGGAAGGAUGAUCUCUGUAGCCAAUAUGUUUUGGAUACAGACAGCAAAGGACAUGUUCCAGCCCAACAGCAGGUUGUCUUGGAGUUGCAAGAGGAUGGAAAUUUGAUGACGUCUGAUGACCAUCCAAUUGUAUUGGGCUUCUUGGAGAGAGAUUUUCUACAGAAGUCAGGUUUGCAGGCUGGAAAUCUUCUUCGUUUCUCUGUGAUUGAUGAAUGUGUAAAAAUUGUUGAUGGUAAGCUGGAGUUGGGGGACCUUCAAUAUAUUGGAAAAGCAAAUCGUGCACGUGCUUUUGCAGAUAGCUACUCAAAGGUAUUCUUCCAGUACACAGCCCGUCACAGUCCUCUUCGAUUCCACGAUCUUAUAGCAUUCCUCAACCCAAACUACCAUGAAAACGCUGAAAACAAUGACAUUGAGAUGAUUGGUUGAUUCGUCAAGGAAAACAGUUAUAAUCUCGUUGGCCAACUUAAUGAGUUAAUUUUGUAGCUAAUUAUUCCCCGUUUAUCAGUAGAUGAGGUAUUUGCGGAGCUUCCAGAUUUGUAUCUUAUGGUAUUCUUCCAGUACACAGCCCGUCACAGUCCUCUUCGAUUCCAGGAUCUUACAGCAUUCCUCAACCCAAACUGCCAUGAAAACGCUGAAAACAAUGACAUUGAGAUGAUUGGUUGAUUCGUCAAGGAAAACAGUUAUAAUCUCGUUGGCCAACUUAAUGAGCUAAUUUUGUAGCUAAUUAUAUCCCAUGUUUAUCAGUAGAUGAAGUAUUUGCAGGGCUUGCAGAUUUGUUUGUGAUGGUAAGCUAUUUGA